AACGAACGCUGGCGGCAGGCCUAACACAUGCAAGUCGAGCGCCCCGCAAGGGGAGCGGCGGACGGGUGAGUAACGCGUGGGAACGUACCCUUUGCUACGGAAUAGCCUCGGGAAACUGGGAGUAAUACCGUAUGUGCCCUUCGGGGGAAAGAUUUAUCGGCAAAGGAUCGGCCCGCGUUGGAUUAGGUAGUUGGUGGGGUAAUGGCCUACCAAGCCGACGAUCCAUAGCUGGUUUGAGAGGAUGAUCAGCCACACUGGGACUGAGACACGGCCCAGACUCCUACGGGAGGCAGCAGUGGGGAAUCUUAGACAAUGGGCGCAAGCCUGAUCUAGCCAUGCCGCGUGAGCGAUGAAGGCCUUAGGGUUGUAAAGCUCUUUCAGUGGGGAAGGUAAUGACUGUACCCACAGAAGAAGCCCCGGCUAACUCCGUGCCAGCAGCCGCCGUAA
rnacentral:rRNA from 1 species